CGCGUAGGCGGCUGGAUAAGUCAGAUGUGAAAUCCCACGGCUCAACUGUGGAAGUGCAUUUGAAACUGUCUGGCUUGAGUAUCGGAGGGGAGUGUGGAAUUCCCGGUGUAGAGGUGAAAUUCGUAGAGAUCGGGAGGAACACCGGUGGCGAAGGCGACACUCUGGACGCAUACUGACGCUGAGGCGCGAAAGCGUGGGGAGCAAACA
rnacentral:rRNA from 1 species